rnacentral:lncRNA from 1 species
AUGGCCGGGUGGAUGCGCCCACAGCGACACCCAAUGGUUGGCAUUCUAGGAUGUAAUGCGCAGCAGCAGCAGCCUUCGUUGUGUAAAGGCUCAUCAUCCCACUCUUCCUUCUCUCCUGCCCUCCCUGCAGACAUGGCCACGGUCCUUAUCAAAUGCACUCCCCCUGGAGAACCAACCCUACACCAGAGAUUGAACGGGACUCCCGCCCAGGCAAACCGGCGACCCAGGGACUCCCGCCCAGGCAAACUGGCGAACCAGGGACCCCCGCCCAGGCAAACCGGCGACCCAGGGACCCCCGCCCAGGCAAACUGGCAAACCAGGGACCCCCGCCCAUGCAAACCGGCGACCCAGGGACCCCCGCCCGGGCAAACCGGCGACCCAGGGACCCCCGCCCAGGCAAACCAGCGACCCAGGGACCCCCCGCCCAGGCAAACCGGCGACCCAGGGACCCCCGCCCAGGCAAACCGGCGACCCAGGGACCCCCGCCCAGGCAAACCGGCGACCCAGGGACCCCCGCCCAGGCAAACCGGCGACCCAGGGACCCCCGCCCAGGCAAACCGGCGACCCAGGGACCCCCGCCCAGGCAAACCGGCGACCCAGGGACCCCCGCCCAGGCAAACCGGCGACCCAGGGACCCCCGCCCAGGCAAACCGGCGACCCAGGGACUCCCAUCAUCUGUUAUGAAAAAAUAAUAAUAUACUGAACAAAAAUAUAAAUGCAACAUGCAACAAUUUCAAAGUUUACUGAGUAACAGUUCAUACAAGGAAAUCAGUCAAUUUAAAUAAAUGCAUUUGGCCCUAAUCUAUGGAUUUCACAUGACUGGAAAUACAGAUAUGCAUCUGUUGGUCACAAAUACCUUCAAAAAAUAAGGGGCGUGGAUCAGAAAAUCAUUCAGUAUCUGGUGUGACCACCAUUUGUCUCAUGCAGCGCCACACAUCUCCUUCUGAUAGAGUUGAUCAGGCUGUUGAUUGUGGCCUGUGGAAUGUUAUCCCACUCCUCUUCAAUGGCUUUGUGAAGUUGCUGGAUAUUGGCGGGAACUGUAACACGCUGUCAUACACAUCGAUCCGGAGCAUCCCAAACAUGCUCAAUUGGUGAUAUGUCUGGUGAGUAUGCAGGCCAUGGAAGAACUGGGACAUUUUCAGCUUCCAUUAUCAUGCUGAAACACAAGGUGAUAGCAGUGAAUGAAUGGCACGACAAUAGGCCUCAGGAUCUUGUCACGGUAUCUCUGCAUUCAAAUUGCCAUCGAUAAAAUGAAAUUGUGUUUGUUUUCCUUAGCUUAUGCCUGCCUAUACCGUAACCCUUAAAUUAACAUUUUUGGUAGAUAGAUUCAUUAUUUUAACAUCUCCAGAGUUCACUCUAACGUAGUCUAUUAACUAGAACGGGCAAGUUAUCUUUUCGGCGUAGAGAGCAUUUUGCUGUUGUAAAACAAAUUUUCACCAAUUCUAUGCAUUUUGCCAUUCGAAAGGCUAUGUUCUUCUGCUCAAAUAUUAUAAUAAAAUCAAUGGGUAUGUGGCCUGAAUGCCUGUUUAAUUAAACAAAUAUAUAUUAUCCCUGACUGUCUAGCUUUUAUUUAGAUUGUUUGUUCUCAAAGAUGGUAUUAAUAAAAAAUAUAUAUAGUUCAAUAUCUUUUCUGCAUGCUUCCUAUCUGGUUUUGGUUGUUGAAGUUGACACAAACUGUUUUUCAGUGUCAACUAAAUUACCACUUAGACGGCCAGCCUAAGAAUUGUCUAUACAGAAAAACCCCUGUAAUUAGCACCAAUAACUGUAAUUUCCUCCAUAUUAAAGGGAUAGUUCAAGAAUUUGACAAGGAAGCCCUUUAUCUACAUCCUCAGAGUUGGAUCAAAGGAAUAGCUAGCAUGCUAACUUUUCCUGUAAACUUGCAGCCAUUGCGCUAACGCUAGUUAGCAUUGACUCAUAAAAAUACCUAUUACGUCCUUCAUACUGGACACAGACAAAUACAAAUUGUAUCCACGAUGGUAUGUAUUCUGUUGCAGCUAGCGAUAUUCAUAAAAUCAUUUUUUUCACAAUUGUGGAACCCUUGCUGUACCUCAUUUGCAGUACCUCAGGCCAAUUUUAAAAUCCCAGGUCUAAGAGAUCAUUGUUUUUUCUCAACUUAAGAAUGUAUAGCGUUUGUGAGUGUGAUUGGCUCACCCUCACAGCCUUGGAGUCCCAGGCUGGUGUGUGAGGCCCAGGCAGUCUCCCUUCUC